rnacentral:rRNA from 1 species
AACGAACGCUGGCGGCAUGCCUAACACAUGCAAGUCGAACGAGACCUUCGGGUCUAGUGGCGCACGGGUGCGUAACGCGUGGGAACCUGCCCUUAGGUUCGGAAUAACUCCCCGAAAGGGGUGCUAAUACCGGAUAAUGUCUUCGGACCAAAGAUUUAUCGCCUUUGGAUGGGCCCGCGUUCGAUUAGCUAGUUGGUAGGGUAAAAGCCUACCAAGGCGACGAUCCAUAGCUGGUCUGAGAGGAUGAUCAGCCACACUGGGACUGAGACACGGCCCAGACUCCUACGGGAGGCAGCAGUGGGGAAUAUUGGACAAUGGGCGAAAGCCUGAUCCAGCAAUGCCGCGUGAGUGAUGAAGGCCUUAGGGUUGUAAAGCUCUUUUACCCGGGAUGAUAAUGACAGUACCGGGAGAAUAAGCUCCGGCUAACUCCGUG